GGGGAACCGCCUGAACUGAAACAUCUAAGUAGGGCGAGGAAGAGAAAUCAACCGAGAUUCCGCUAGUAGUGGCGAGCGAACGCGGAAGAGGCCAAACCGGAGGUAGCAAUAUUUCCGGGGUUAGGACUGCAAUAUGUAACUUUAAUCUUUAACUGAAUGCUUUGGGAAGAGCAGCGAUACAGGGUGAUAGCCCCGUAAGUGAAAAGGAUUGAGUGCUAGCAGUAUCCAGAGUACCAGCGGACACGUGAAACCCGCUGGGAAGAUGGGGGGACCAUCCUCCAAGCCUAAAUACUACUCAGUGACCGAUAGUGGAGCAGUACCGUGAGGGAAAGGUGAAAAGUACCCCGGGAGGGGAGUGAAAAAGAACCUGAAACCUUGUGCCUACAAGCACCGAGAGCACGUUAAAGUGUGAUCGGGUACUUUUUGUAGAACGGUCCGGCGAGUUAAUAUUUGCAGCGAGGUUAAGGAACUGGAGUUCCGGAGCCGCAGCGAGAGCGAGUCUGAAUAGGGCGUAUGAAGUUGCAGGUAUUAGACCCGAAACCGGGUGACCUAUCCAUGAGCAGGCUGAAGCGGUGGUAAGACACCGUGGAGGGCCGCACCCACGUCUGUUGAAAAAGCCGGGGAUGACUUGUGGAUAGCGGAGAAAUUCCAAUCGAACUCGGAGAUAGCUGGUUCUCCCCGAAAUAGCUUUAGGGCUAGCGUUAUUUUAGAUUACCGGAGGUAAAGCACUGAAUGGUCUAGGGGCCGCGAGGUUACCAAAGCCUAUCAAACUCUGAAUGCCGGAUAAUUGAUGAAUAGCAGUCAGACUGUGUGAGAUAAGUCUCAUAGUCAAAAGGGAAACAGCCCAGAUCUACAGCUAAGGUCCCAAAUGAACACUAAGUGGAAAAUGAUGUGAAACUGCGAAGACAACCAGGAUGUUGGCUUAGAAGCAGCCACUCAUUCAAAGAGUGCGUAAUAGCUCACUGGUCGAGUGGUUUUGCGCAGAAAAUGUAACGGGGCUAAGUGUUCAACCGAAGCUUAGGCAUUGCAGUAAUGCAUUGGGUAGGGGAGCGUCGUAUGCGGGGCGAAGUCAGAGCGGAAGCACUGGUGGACUGCAUACGAGUGAGAAUGCCGGAAUAAGUAGCGAGAAUUAUGUGAGAAUCAUAAUGGCCGAAAAUCUAAGGUUUCUUGGGGAAGGUUCGUCCGCCCAAGGUUAGUCGGGAGCUAAGCUCAGGCCGAAAGGCGUAGGCGAUGCACAUACGGUAGAAAUUCCGUAACCACCGAACAUUUAAGCUAGAGGGACGCUUUCUUUAAGGUUAUCCCGGGCGAUGGUUGCCCCGGGCGUAAGGGACCGAAAUAUAGUAGGGAAGUAACUGGCGAGAGAGACGAGAAAAGCUCUAGUGUAUACUAAGGUGCCCGUACCGCAAACCGACACAGGUAGAUGGGAUGAGUAUUCUAAGGCCAACGGGAGAAGGGUUGUUAAGGAACUCGGCAAAUUGGCCCCGUAACUUCGGGAUAAGGGGCGCCUGCGAGAGCAGGCCGCAGUGAAAAGGCCCAAGCGACUGUUUAGCAAAAACACAGCUCUCUGCUAAAUCGAAAGAUGACGUAUAGGGGGUGACGCCUGCCCGGUGCUGGAAGGUUAAGGGGAGUGCUUAGCGCAAGCGAAGGUGCGAACUUAAGCCCCAGUAAACGGCGGCCGUAACUAUAACGGUCCUAAGGUAGCGAAAUUCCUUGUCAGGU
rnacentral:rRNA from 1 species